GUUACGAAUGGAUAUGGAAUCCCAGAAUUCACAAUUUAGUGAUGGUGGUGAAUCAUUUCUAAGUUUAAACUUAUCAACAAAAACAAGGAGAGUGAAAGAGUAGAAAAAUGAGUAGCUUUGUUCAAAUCCAAACUUGGUUCAAGAAUCCCCAAUCCACCACUGGUUUAUGUAAAAACCUCACCUCACACCCAACCGCAGAAACCACCAUCUUCACUCCCAACCGCCAAUUCCAACUCAAACACCAAAUUCAAAUUGCAGAUGGAAGAAGAAUCGCUCGAAAAGGGAUCAUCUGCAACGGAAUUUUGCUACCCGUGGAUCCAUGGGCGCCGAGCAUCGAUUCACAGAGCAUAGCAUCCCAGCUCUUCGCUUUCUCCCUCUUCCCCUAUCUUGGUUUCCUCUAUUUCAUCACCAGAUCCAAAUCUGCCCCAAAGCUCACUCUUUUCGGCUUCUAUUUUCUCCUUGCUUUCGUCGGCGCUACGAUACCAGCUGGAAUUUAUGCAAAGGUGCACUAUGGGACAUCUUUGUCCAAUGUGGAUUGGCUACACGGUGGAGCCGAGUCGCUGCUUGCACUGACCAACGUAUUCAUUGUUUUAGGCCUCAGAGAGGCUCUUAGGAAAGCUGGAGAUGGGAAUGGUAACGGAUCGAAUUUCACUACUGAGGCAAAAGAGGAGGAUAGUCCAUCGGUUAGAGGAGAAGCAAUUUGAUCCUGAUGUGGCUGGAGAAUAGAACAACGGGGAAUAUCCUCCCAAGUGGUUGUCGUCAGCCUGAGCAGAAAUUGGAUAACACUCACUUUCUCUUUCUUGGCAUGGAAUUGUCGCUGGGAAAGAGAAGUAGGCCGGCGGCAUCUCUUGGAUGUCUGAAGCAUCAGUGUCAACUCUGAGGUGACCUCAAAUACGGUGGGAUCUUCGUCCGAUCUCUGCACUUGCUUCGUUGCCCAACAGUUCUGGCCUUGGCGGUAGGUACACCGGGAGAGUGAAUGAACCUUGGGUAUUUAGCUCCCAAAAUGUCUUUCUGUCCAUACUUUCUCCAUCUAUACUUGUCGUCCGCGGGCCCUUCAAGCCCGUUUCCCGAGUUGACUUUCACUUGUUCUGUCCAUGUGGGCUGCAGCUUCCUAUGAUAUCAAACAAGAAGUAGAGAAUACAUUCUUGUUCGUAUCAUCGCUUCUAGAACUUCCAUCAGCAGAGAUCGAAGACUCGGGAGCUGCAGCCGGUGCUACUCCAACAUGUCCCCCGCCCUUGAGGAUGCAAAGAGCCUUCUCGAAAGUCGAUAUUAUCCUCUGCAGAAGCAAGUCCUCGGCCUCAGAGGGAGACGUCGAGCAGAGAUGAAACCGCAGCUGCACGGCUUUCUCCAUCCCCUGAGCUAAUUCAUCGCUCAGCACUUGCAUUUCCCAUAACUCCAUUUCUUACUUCACUUUUGCUUGCAGGAAAGACAGAGAGAGGGUCGGUCGGUCGACUUCCACAAAACGAUGCUCGUUCAGCUCGGGAUGCGGCUAGCCAGUCUGCACGUCCGGUACAAUACUCUUGCUAUGCAGCAAACUAAGCUUCUCUUCAUAUAUGCAAAGGGCCAAAAAUCUCUUUUUUGCCCUUUAUAUUGGUUAUAUAGAAUUUAGUUGAGAAAAUUUGGUUAUAUUAGAAAGCUAAGGUAAUGCUAUAUUAUUGAAGAGGAGAAUAGAGUGAUGCUGGCAAAGCUGAUGAUGAAGCAUAUGUAUUUAAAGAAAUUUUUUUAAGGAAUGAUUGAUAAAGAAAAUUAUGUGGAAAAGAGUGAGAGUUGAAGUUUGACUGAGAAACCGAGUUUUUCAUGUGGACCAAAUAUUUAAAAUCAAUGUUUUGAGGGCUGACCAAUUCAAACCUCAAUAAAAUGUCUCAUUUUCUUCUUUUUCA